rnacentral:tRNA from 1 species
GCGGGGAUAAGCUACGGUAGCUUGUCAGUCUCAGAAGCUGAAAUAAGUAGGUUCGACUCCUACCCCCGC